AUUGAACGCUGGCGGCAGGCCUAACACAUGCAAGUCGAACGGUAACAGGAAGAAGCUUGCUUCUUUGCUGACGAGUGGCGGACGGGUGAGUAAUGUCUGGGAAACUGCCUGAUGGAGGGGGAUAACUACUGGAAACGGUAGCUAAUACCGCAUAACGUCGCAAGACCAAAGAGGGGGACCUUCGGGCCUCUUGCCAUCGGAUGUGCCCAGAUGGGAUUAGCUAGUAGGUGGGGUAACGGCUCACCUAGGCGACGAUCCCUAGCUGGUCUGAGAGGAUGACCAGCCACACUGGAACUGAGACACGGUCCAGACUCCUACGGGAGGCAGCAGUGGGGAAUAUUGCACAAUGGGCGCAAGCCUGAUGCAGCCAUGCCGCGUGUAUGAAGAAGGCCUUCGGGUUGUAAAGUACUUUCAGCGGGGAGGAAGGGAGUAAAGUUAAUACCUUUGCUCAUUGACGUUACCCGCAGAAGAAGCAACGGCUAACUCCGUG
rnacentral:rRNA from 1 species